rnacentral:rRNA from 1 species
AUGACUAACAUGUACAACAUGCCAUUUGCUCCAUUCAUUGGGAUAAAUCGUCAUGGCCAGACGUUCAUGUUGGGGUGUGGCUUUGUUAGGCAGGAGUUAGAGACAAGUUUUGAUUGGUUAUUUGGUACAUUCCUUGAAGCAAUGGAUGGUCUAGCACCAUUCAACAUAAUCACUGACCAAGAUUGGGUGAUGGCAGAAUCAAUUAAAAACAUCUUCCCUAAUACUGUGCAUCAUCGAUGUCGGUGGCACAUAAUGAAGAAGGCUCAAGAAAAACUUGCUGGCUUAGUGGGAAGGAAUCCAGGGUUGUCAAAAGAUUUCAAUGAUUGUGUUGACUUUAGCUUCACUCUAGAAGAAUUUGAGACAAAAUGGGCAGCUUUGAAGGAUAAGUGGUUGUUUAUUGCUGGAACCCACUUUGAUAAGUUGUAUGAGUAUCGGGCAACAUGGGUGUCGUGUUACUUCAAGCACCGGUUUUUCCCUUUCUUGCAGUCUACCCAGCGCAGUGAAGGAUUCAAUGCAGUUCUUAAGCGUUAUGUGAACCCGCACAACUCUGUGUUGAACUUUAUUAAGCAAUAUGAGAAAAUCCAGACACAUGUGCUUGUUUGUGAGGGUGGAAAUGACUACAGGACAGACCACUUGGAGGUUGAGUUGUGGUCUGACUUCCCAAUCGAGAAACAAGCCUAUGAUGCAUACACUAGGGACAUUUACCAGAAAUUCCGGGACGAGUUUGAACUGAUUGGGAAAUACAAUGUGUGUCCCCAUGGUGGUAGUGUGUUUGAGCUUUAUCCAAAUAGAGAAGGAUGGGUUGCUAAUUAUGGUUCUAUAUAUAAGCUAUUAUGUGACAGCACAAGUCGAAGCUGGGGACUACAAGUGUGA